CUGAUAUAACCGGAAACUGAAGUUGUCUAUCUACAGAGCACACAAAGCAUUGGUACAAGUUUCUCUACGUCUCGCAAACAUGUUCCAUCAUUCUGGAGGGAAGACUUCUAAGGCUGAAAGCGUAGUUCCAGUCUCCAUGCGCAUUCAGUUCUUGGCUACU
rnacentral:sRNA from 1 species